rnacentral:rRNA from 1 species
GACGAACGCUGGCGGCGUGCUUAACACAUGCAAGUCGAACGGAAAGGCCUCUUUCGGGGGGUACUCGAGUGGCGAACGGGUGAGUAACACGUGAGUAACCUGCCCUUGACUUUGGGAUAACUUCAGAAAACUGGGGCUAAUACCGGAUAGGAGCUCCUGCUGCAUGGUGGGGGUUGGAAAGUUUCGGCGGUUGGGGAUGGACUCGCGGCUUAUCAGCUUGUUGGUGGGGUAGUGGCUUACCAAGGCUUUGACGGGUAGCCGGCCUGAGAGGGUGACCGGCCACAUUGGGACUGAGAUACGGCCCAGACGCCUACGGGAGGCAGCAGGGGGGAAUAUUGCACAAGGGGUGGAAGCCUGAUGCAGCAACGCCGUGGGCGGGAUGACGGCCUUCGGGUUGUAAACCGCUUUCGCUCAUGACGAAGCUUUGUGUGACGGUAGUGGGUAAAGAAGCACCGGCUAACUACGUG